GGCUUCCCUUGAGUGUUGGAUUGUAAAAAAUCAAGUCAUUUGGUGCACAUAUAUUUCUUUUUGUCUAGGUUAGAUUGUGUGCUUUUAGCAUUUUGUCAAAACAAUUUGUUAAUCUCAUGAAAAUCAACAUUUAGAAAACUUUUUAUACUGAUCAAAAUAAUCCCUCACACAUCCCCUUGCAAUCCCCCAAAUAAUUGACUUACUAUUAACCCUCUAAAUAAAUAAUUGACCCACUUACAUAUUAUUUUAAAAAAUUAAACUCAAACCUUUUAAAUUUAUGUGGCGAUCAAAGUGUAUCACUUAAAAAAUAUGGAGGGAGUAAAAUGUCACACACACAUUGCUUACGUAAAUACUAGUUUGAUACGAGUAUAACAGAACAUGUCGACAACAACGCUUGCCAUUUAGUGUAAAAUUUUGCACGGUCCACUUGCGUAGAGAGAUCAGACGAUGCACUGCUUAGUGUACUCAACCAUUGGUCAUGGCUUGGUCAUUAGGAGGGAGAGAGCAUUAAAAAGAAUAAAGAAAUAUGAGAGAUAAGAAGUAGGGAAGAGAGAGAAGCAUGACCUGGUCAUGCCCAUCACCAAAACUAACUCUUGGGCAUAAAAGGUAGUGAGGACAAGUGGAAAUAACAUUGUUUAUUUAUUUUUAUUUUUUGUUAUUAGUAAUAUAAAGGAUUUUUUGGAUAAAACCACCUUUUAAAGUUCAACUUUUUGAAAAAACCACCUUAUAUGUUUUUUUUUUUUAAAAAACCACCUUUUAUGUUCAAAGUUUUAGAAAUCACCACCAAAUACUAACGUCCGUCUACAAUUUCGUCCGUGGGGUCCGCAACCAAUGACCCAAAAUUAAUUUUCCCUCCUCUUUUUCUUCCUUCUUCCUCCCAUUGAACAGAGCCUCCAUUGUCAAACCUCUCUCCAAAAAUUUGCUCAAAAAUUCGCAACCUUACACUCAAUUCUCUCCCAAAUUUUCAAGUACAAUUCAUUAGCAAUCCAUUUUCGGCGCUUGCCCCCAAAAAUCAACAUAGUUCGCGUGCUUAAGCAGGUUGAUGGACCACGAGAGUAUUGUUAUUGCGGAGCUCCUGUGGCAAUUCAUAUGGUGUUAUUCAUGUGUUGCCUAAUGUUUGUAGUUAUUCAUGUGUUGCCUAAUGUUUGUAGUUAUUGUAUUUGGUGUUGUGAUUUUAUUUAAGUAGUUCUUGGAUUAGUGGUGUCGUUAAUGAUCCGAAUAUAGGAUGGUUUGAGCGAAUUGAUUUAGUGUAUUGAUGGAAAUGUAAUAUCGUAUGAAUCAAUGAAUGAAUAUUUUUGUGUUA